rnacentral:rRNA from 1 species
UACAGAGGUCUCAAGCGUUGUUCGGAUUUACUGGGCGUACAGGGCGCGUAGGCGGUUGGAUAAGCCCUCCGUGAAAUCUCCAGGCUUAACCUGGAAAGUGCAGAGGGGACUGUUCAGCUAGAGGAUGGGAGAGGAGCGCGGAAUUCCCGGUGUAGCGGUGAAAUGCGUAGAGAUCGGGAGGAAGGCCGGUGGCGAAGGCGGCGCUCUGGAACAUUUCUGACGCUGAGGCUCGAAAGCGUGGGGAGCAAACAGG